GUGCAGGACGCUUAGGGUUCCGCCGCCUUACAAGCGGGUCAGGUCCGAGAAGCGUCACCUUGUUGGCAAAAUCCGGCAAGGCACACGGCGGGGCAAAAUCCCGGGAGAC
rfam:Shimia sp. SK013 shim_contig000004, whole genome shotgun sequence.